rnacentral:rRNA from 1 species
UACAGAGGGUGCGAGCGUUAAUCGGAAUUAUACGUGGGCGUAAAGCGCACGUAGUCGGCUUUGCAAGUUCGGGUGUGAAAUCCCCGGGCUCAACCUGGGAACUGCAUCCGAGACUGCAUUGCUAGAGUAUGGGAGAGGGAAGCGGAAUUUCUGGAUGUAGCAGUGAAAUGCGUAGAUAUCAGAAGGAACAUCAGUGGCGAAAAGCGGCUUCCUGGUCCAGCACCGGACG